rnacentral:rRNA from 1 species
GUGACCUAUCCAUGGCCAGGAUGAAGCGGAAGUAAAAUUCCGUGGAGGUCCGAACCACGUUGGUGUUGAAAAACCAUGGGAUGAGCUGUGGAUAGCGGAGAAAUUCCAAUCGAACUCGGAGAUAGCUGGUUCUCCUCGAAAUAGCUUUAGGGCUAGCGUCGGGUAAUUGAGUAGUGGAGGUAGAGCACUGAAUGGGCUAGGGGCUGACAACAGUUACUGAACCCUAUCAAACUCCGAAUGCCAUAUACUUGUACCCCGGCAGUCAGACUACGAAUGAUAAGAUCCGUGGUCAAAAGGGAAACAGCCCAGACCAUCAGCUAAGGUCCCAAAGUGUAAGUUAAGUGGGAAAGGAUGUGGGAUUUCUAAGACAACUAGGAUGUUGGCUUAGAAGCAGCCACUCAUUUAAAGAGUGCGUAAUAGCUCACUAGUCGAGAGAUCCUGCGCCGAAGAUGUAACGGGGCUCAAACUUACCACCGAAGCUAUGGAUGUGUACUAUGUACACGUGGUAGAGGAGCUUUCUGUACAGGUUGAAGUCAUACCGUAAGGAGUGGUGGACAGUACAGAAGUGAGAAUGCUGGCAUAAGUAGCGAAAAACAAGUGAGAAUCUUGUUGACCGAAUAUCUAAGGUUUCCUGGGGAAGGCUCGUCCUCCCAGGGUUAGUCGGGACCUAAGCCGAGGCCGAAAGGCGUAGGUGAUGGACAACUGGUUGAUAUUCCAGUACCACCAUAAUGCGUUUGACAAAUGGGAUGACGCAGGAGGAUAGGAUGUGCGCACUAUUGGAUGUGCGUCUAAGCACUUAGGGUGUUAAGUAGGCAAAUCCGCUUAACAUUAAGCCUGAGGUGUGAUGGGGAGCCUAUUUUGGCGAAGUAUCUGAUUCCACGCUGCCAAGAAAAGUCUCUAUGGAGCAAAAUGGUGCCCGUACCGCAAACCGACACAGGUAGAUGAGGAGAGAAUCCUAAGGUCGUCGGAAGAAUUAUUGCUAAGGAACUCGGCAAAUUGACCCCGUAACUUAGGGAGAAGGGGUGCCUACGAGAGUAGGCCGCAGUGAAUAGGCUCAAGCAACUGUUUAUCAAAAACACAGGUCUCUGCUAAAGCGUAAGCUGAUGUAUAGGGGCUGACGCCUGCCCGGUGCUGGAAGGUUAAGGGGAAUAGUUAGCGCAAGCGAAGCUAUGAACUUAAGCCCCAGUAAACGGCGGCCGUAACUAUAACGGUCCUAAGGUAGCGAAAUUCCUUGUCGGGUAAGUUCCGACCCGCACGAAUGGCGUAAUGAUUUGAGCACUGUCUCGGCAAUAAAUCCGGUGAAAUUGUAGUGCAAGUGAAGAUGCUUGCUACCCGCGGUUGGACGGAAAGACCCCGUAGAGCUUUACUGUAGCUUAGCAUUGAAUUUCGGUAUUGUCUGUACAGGAUAGGUGGGAGACUUAGAAGCGAGGGCGUCAGCUUUCGUGGAGUCGUCCUUGGGAUACCACCCUGACAGUACUGGAAUUCUAACUGGAGGCCAUGAAUCUGGUCACAGGACAUUGCUAGGUGGGCAGUUUGACUGGGGCGGUCGCCUCCUAAAAGGUAACGGAGGCGCCCAAAGGUUCCCUCAGCGCGGUCGGAAAUCGCGCGUAGAGUGCAAAGGCAGAAGGGAGCCUGACUGCGACACAUACAGGUGGAGCAGGGACGAAAGUCGGGCUUAGUGAUCCGGUGGUUCUGUAUGGAAGGGCCAUCGCUCAACGGAUAAAAGCUACCUCGGGGAUAACAGGCUGAUCUCCCCCAAGAGUCCACAUCGACGGGGAGGUUUGGCACCUCGAUGUCGGCUCGUCGCAUCCUGGGGCUGUAGUCGGUCCCAAGGGUUGGGCUGUUCGCCCAUUAAAGCGGCACGCGAGCUGGGUUCAGAACGUCGUGAGACAGUUCGGUCCCUAUCCGCCGUGGGCGUAGGAAAUUUGAGAGGAGCUGUCCUUAGUACGAGAGGACCGGGAUGGACCAACCUCUGGUGCACCAGUUGUUCCGCCAGGAGCACAGCUGGGUAGCUAUGUUGGGAAGGGAUAAACGCUGAAAGCAUCUAAGCGUGAAGCCCACCUCAAGAUUAGAUUUCCCAUAGCGUAAGCUAGUAAGACCCCUGAAAGACUAUCAGGUUGAUAGGUUGGAGGUGUAAGUACAGUAAUGUAUUCAGCUGACCAAUACUAAUAGGUCGAGGGCUUGAUCAAAUU